AAAAACAGAAGCUUCACUUCCACACACGUAUACAAAAGAGAGAACAAUUGAUCAUUUUGCUUUCACCUUCUUAAGAAAUCGAUGGAGCAACCUUAAAAAGAAUGGCAAGAAGAAUGAAAUUAUGAGGCACUCCAAGAGGACACCUCUUGGUGGUUCCAACGUGGCAAUUGAGACACCAUAAGUGGCCAUCAUUGAAUAUAUAGCAGUCAGCACCUCAAAACUAAAUGGGCAUCCAAUUAUGAGAGCGGUAAUGAUUUGGAUUGACGCAGAAAGGGCUAAAGUGUUGCAGAAGAGAAACAAUGUGAAUUGGACUUUUUGAGUAGAAGCUAAGACGACACUCACUGAACCUUGUUUCACUCCCUGCUCCCCGGAAGUGGUAUUGCAGGAUAGAAACAAUGUGUGCACAGUGUUUUCCUUGGAAGGUAAGAUGACUCUCCCUGAGCAUGUUUCCACUUCCUCUUUGGUGGCGGG
rnacentral:lncRNA from 1 species